rnacentral:rRNA from 1 species
AACGAACGCUGGCGGCAUGCCUAACACAUGCAAGUCGAACGAACCCUUCGGGGUGAGUGGCGCACGGGUGCGUAACACGUGGGAACCUGCCCUUAGGUUCGGAAUAACAGUUAGAAAUGACUGCUAAUACCGGAUAAUGUCUUCGGACCAAAGAUUUAUCGCCUUUGGAUGGGCCCGCGUAGGAUUAGCUAGUUGGUGAGGUAAAGGCUCACCAAGGCGACGAUCCUUAGCUGGUCUUAGAGGAUGAUCAGCCACACUGGGACUGAGACACGGCCCAGACUCCUACGGGAGGCAGCAGUGGGGAAUAUUGGACAAUGGGCGAAAGCCUGAUCCAGCAAUGCCGCGUGAGUGAUGAAGGCCUUAGGGUUGUAAAGCUCUUUUACCUGGGAUGAUAAUGACAGUACCAGGAGAAUAAGCCCCGGCUAACUCCGUGCCAGCAGCCGCAGUAACAC